rnacentral:tRNA from 4 species
UGUCCCAGUAGCUCAGCCGGAUAGAGCAACGGCCUUCUAAGCCGUCGGUCGGGAGUUCGAAUCUCUCCUGGGACGU